rnacentral:rRNA from 1 species
GAACCUUACCAGGCCUUGACAUGCAGAGAACUUUCCAGAGAUGGAUUGGUGCCUUCGGGAACUCUGACACAGGUGCUGCAUGGCUGUCGUCAGCUCGUGUCGUGAGAUGUUGGGUUAAGUCCCGUAACGAGCGCAACCCUUGUCCUUAGUUACCAGCACGUUAUGGUGGGCACUCUAAGGAGACUGCCGGUGACAAACCGGAGGAAGGUGGGGAUGACGUCAAGUCAUCAUGGCCCUUGCGGCCUGGGCUACACACGUGCUACAAUGGUCGGUACAAAGGGUUGCCAAGCCGCGAGGUGGAGCUAAUCCCAUAAAACCGAUCGUAGUCCGGAUCGCAGUCUGCAACUCGACUGCGUGAAGUCGGAAUCGCUAGUAAUCGUGAAUCAGAAUGUCACGGUGAAUACGUUCCCGGGCCUU